rnacentral:lncRNA from 13 species
UGGUGUUUUAAGACCCCUAAUUUGUGGUACUUUGUGAUGGCAGCCAUAGAAAACUGAUACAUUAAGUUAUUGGUCUGCUCAGGCUGCCAUCACAAAAGACCACAGACUGGGUAACUUAACGGAAAUUUAUUUUCUCACAGUUCUGGAGACUGGAAUCCAAGAUCAAGGUGCCAGCAUGGUCUGGUCCCGGUGAGGGCUGUCUUCACAGUUGGCUUUCGCAGUGUCCGCGUGUGAGGAGCAGGUUGAAAAGAUAUGCUGCCUCUCUUAGGAGUCAAUUACAGUCAAUGACAUCAUAACGGCGAGGCCACAAUUACCUCUUAAAGGUCCAGUCUCCAAAUGCAGUCCCAACAGGAGGGACCUCGAAGCUGUGGGCCAGCCCUGUCCUGAUGUCUUGCAUUUAUGUCUAGUGGUCUGCAGUGCACUGUGUGUGCUUGAAGUGACGCCCCGGAGAGAUUACUGUGGUGGGGGGUGAAAGCAUUAGAACAUUGAAGAAUGAGAGAAAUUGAGCAUAUGGAAUAUGCAGCAUAUUUGUUGACACCCAUGCACUGCCUUUGCUUGCACUAGAUGGUGGUUUGUGUGUGCAGCGCCUGAGGUAUGGGGCAGGCAGAGCAUGCAGCCUUACUCCUUUCCAGAAGGUUGCCAUGCUGGAGUGCUGGAUUCCACAGAUAUUAUCCAUUUUAAAUUAACCCUCUACUAAAGGAAUUUAAAGUUUUCUGAAAAUAAACCAACAAAUGAAGCUAAUAGUAAUAAUGUA